rnacentral:ncRNA from 16 species
AUCCCGCGCAUAUCCGGGUCACGAUAUGCAUCCUCCCUGUCGGACUGGCCGGGCUUCGCGCCCGGCCUUUUUU